CCACAAAAUACGUGGACCAUCUUUGAAAGCAACAUCAAACAUAACAAGACGAUAACAACAAUACAGUCAGUACUUUGUGUGACCGCCUCUAGCAUUGUACAAUGCGCGUACACGUCUGGGCAUGCUGGUCACUAGGUUGGUAAGGGUUUCAACCAGGAUUUCUCGCCAGCAUUGGAUCACAGCCUGAGUCAGUUCAGCCACGUUUGUUGGAGGAUCAUUCACGUUACACGAAACACUGAAGAAAAUAUUCCAAACUUUUUUCCAACACUGUAUA